rnacentral:tRNA from 1 species
UCCCAGGUGGCUCAGUGGUAAAGAAUCUGCCUGACAAUGUAGGAGACACUGGUUCAAUCCCUGGCUUGGGAA